rnacentral:lncRNA from 1 species
GAGGGCUUUGGCUACCUGAUGCUGCCUUGCGGCUCCACGUCGCUCUCAGCACUUCAUGUUGUUUCUAGAGGCAUUAGCUUACGUCGCCAGCAGUUUAAUUCGAGGAGUGCAGUGCUGGCGGCAACAAAAGCAGUUAAGAGAUGAGUUGGUUUCUGGCUUCUGGAAUCUUCAGGCUGAGCUCUGUGCUGUUACCUUGCAAGCAGGAAGAUGUCACAUGAAUUCUGACAGAUAUGUUAUCAGAUGACUUUCUCCACUGACUUCAAGCUGUGCACAGCCAACAGCAGACUGUUGAUUUCCAUAAGUAUGGGUGUUUAAGAAGGUUGAGAACAGUGUGAAAUGUGGAUUUCUAAUGCACCUGGAAAUGCUUUCCUGGCCCUUCCUGCUUCCCAGAAGCACUGCUUGAUUCUAAUAUGCUCGGGGUGAAGUCCUGUGACUUCUAAUGCCAUGCUGAAAGGAAGAAGUCAAGUAAGAUGGAGUUAGAGUUUAGAUGAAAAUGUGAAUAAUGCCUGAAUGAAGUUCAAGUGAGAGUGUGGCUGAGAAGUAGCCCUUCAGAUGCUGUUAGAACUCAGUAUGAAUAUUUAAGUUCAUAGUUAAUAUUCAUAUAGUUAAUAUUGCAAACAAAAUUUGAUUACAGGAUUAAAACACAUAGGAAAACUUGUUUUCUUGUCUAAAUUAGUGUUUAUAAUAAUGCUGGAAGCUGUUCUGCUCACUUUCAAUGCAGUAUUUGUAUAAAUAAAAUCUUGGAUUUGUAAUUCCAA